GACGAACGCUGGCGGCGUGCUUAACACAUGCAAGUCGAACGGAAAGACCAUGCUCUUGUGGGGUGCUCGAGUGGCGAACGGGUGAGAAACACGUGAGUAUCAUGCCCCUGACAUUGGGAUAACUUCAGGAAAAUGGGGAUAAUACCGGAUAGGAGCUCCUGAUGCAUGGUGGGGGUUGGUAAGUUUCGGCGGUUGGGGCUGGACUCGCGGCUUAUCCGCUUGUUGGUGGGGUAGUGGCUUACAAAGGUUUUGACGGGUAGCCGGCCUGGGAGGGUGACCGGCCACAUGGGGACUAAGAUACGGCGCAGACUCCUACGGGAGGCAGCAGUGGGGAAUAUUGCACAAUGGGCCGAAGCCUGAUGCAGCAACGCCGCGUGCGGGAUGACGGCCUUCGGGUUGUAAACCGCUUUCGCCUGAGACGAAGCGUGAGUGACGGUAAUUGGUAAAGAAGCACCGGCUAACUACGUG
rnacentral:rRNA from 1 species